UACGUAGGAUGCAAGCGUUGUCCGGAAUUAUUGGGCGUAAAGAGCUCGUAGGUGGUUUGUCGCGUUGUCCGUGAAAACCUCACGAACUCAAUUGUGGGCGUGCGGCGAUACGGGCAGACUGGAGUACUGCAGGGGAGACUGGAAUUCCUGGUGUAGCGGUGGAAUGCGCAGAUAGUCAGGAGGAACACCGGUGGCGAAGGCGGGUCUCUGGGCAGUAACUGACGCUGGAGGAGCGAAAGCCGUGG
rnacentral:rRNA from 1 species